rnacentral:lncRNA from 1 species
GAAUCAAGAUGGCCGCCUGGGACCGCUCUCAGCCCCUUCGGCCUCUACCUGAAGAGCCACGCCCCGUCUGCUACACCCAACUGAUUGGUUCCUCAAUCACAGAGAGGAAAGGCAACAUGAGGAUGACGUCAGUUACAAAUAUGGCGUUUUGGACGGGCUCGAUAGUUUGCUUGGCCUCUACUCAAGGAAUGCUGAUGGUAUAGCAAGAAGGUAUUCUGAGCAUUAUAUCAAUGGGGAAGUUCUAGAUCUUUUGCAAAGCAGGAGCAAGCUGCCCUGUUGUGAGCUCUCCGGUGGAGAGCCCCACAUGGCAAGAAAAUGAGAAGCCCCCUGAACAGACAAGAGCUGAGGCCCAGGAUACAAUAUCCUGAAAAAAACUGAAUCCUGCUGACAGUUGCCCAAGUGAAGCUGGAAGUGGAUCUUUCUGCAGUGGAUCCUUGAGAUGACUGUAGCCCUGGCUGACAACUUGAUUGCUGCCUGUGAAGGACCCUGAACCAGAGGACUCAGCGAAAUUGUGCCCAGAUUCCUGACCUACAGAGGCAGUGAGAUAAUAAAUGCUGUUGAGGUCACAAAGUUUUGAGGCUGGAGUGCAAUGGCAUGAUCUCA